AUGACUAGGGAUAACCUUAGGAAGAGACACAUCAUCAAACCCCUUGAUUGUGUUUACUGCUUGGAACAAGAGUCUUGUUCUCACCUAUUUUUUGAAUGUAUAGUUGCUAAAUAUCUCUGGGCCCACAUUGAGGAAUAUUUCUCUAGUCAGAUUGGCUCAUCCUUUGAAUCUGUCGCCAGAUUCUGGAUUGCUACCAAAAAGUGCUCAGUUUUAAACACUGUUAGCUCAGCUGUCCUUUGGUGCCUCUGGAAAUAUAGAAAUGCUAUGAUUUUCAGUAACACCUCAUGGAUUUCCAUUCCGCAGGUCUUGAGGUUGAUCAGGAACAUGGUGAGGAACUGGGCGAUUCUCUCCUCUGGAUCGGACAAGGACAAGUUGAUGAGCUUCAUGGAAACCCUAACAAGAUCCCUAGAGAAACCGUUGGCGAUCACUUGUGGCUGA
rnacentral:rRNA from 1 species